GGGUUGUGAGGUUAAGCGACUAAGCGUACACGGUGGAUGCCCUGGCAGUCAGAGGCGAUGAAGGGCGUGCUAAUCUGCGAUAAGCGCCGGUAAGGUGAUAUGAACCGUUAUAACCGGCGAUACCCGAAUGGGGAAACCCAGUGUGAUUCGUCACACUAUCAUUAACUGAAUCCAUAGGUUAAUGAGGCGAACCGGGGGAACUGAAACAUCUAAGUACCCCGAGGAAAAGAAAUCAACCGAGAUUCCCCCAGUAGCGGCGAGCGAACGGGGAGGAGCCCAGAGCCUGAAUCAGCAUGUGUGUUAGUGGAAGCGUCUGGAAAGGCGCGCGAUACAGGGUGACAGCCCCGUACACAAAAGCGCAUGUGCUGUGAGCUCGAUGAGUAGGGCGGGACACGUGGUAUCCUGUCUGAAUAUGGGGGGACCAUCCUCCAAGGCUAAAUACUCCUGACUGACCGAUAGUGAACCAGUACCGUGAGGGAAAGGCGAAAAGAACCCCGGCGAGGGGAGUGAAAAAGAACCUGAAACCGUGUACGUACAAGCAGUGGGAGCCUCUUUUAUGGGGUGACUGCGUACCUUUUGUAUAAUGGGUCAGCGACUUAUAUUCUGUAGCAAGGUUAACCGUAUAGGGGAGCCGGAGGGAAACCGAGUCUUAACCGGGCGUUAAGUUGCAGGGUAUAGACCCGAAACCCGGUGAUCUAGCCAUGGGCAGGUUGAAGGUUGGGUAACACUAACUGGAGGACCGAACCGACUAAUGUUGAAAAAUUAGCGGAUGACCUGUGGCUGGGGGUGAAAGGCCAAUCAAACCGGGAGAUAGCUGGUUCUCCCCGAAAGCUAUUUAGGUAGCGCCUCGUGAAUUCAUCUCCGGGGGUAGAGCACUGUUUCGGCUAGGGGGCCAUCCCGGCUUACCAACCCGAUGCAAACUGCGAAUACCGGAGAAUGUUAUCACGGGAGACACACGGCGGGUGCUAACGUCCGUCGUGAAGAGGGAAACAACCCAGACCGCCAGCUAAGGUCCCAAAGUCAUGGUUAAGUGGGAAACGAUGUGGGAAGGCCCAGACAGCCAGGAUGUUGGCUUAGAAGCAGCCAUCAUUUAAAGAAAGCGUAAUAGCUCACUGGUCGAGUCGGCCUGCGCGGAAGAUGUAACGGGGCUAAACCAUGCACCGAAGCUGCGGCAGCGACGCUGAUGCGUUGUUGGGUAGGGGAGCGUUCUGUAAGCCUGCGAAGGUGGCCUGUGAGGGUUGCUGGAGGUAUCAGAAGUGCGAAUGCUGACAUAAGUAACGAUAAAGCGGGUGAAAAGCCCGCUCGCCGGAAGACCAAGGGUUCCUGUCCAACGUUAAUCGGGGCAGGGUGAGUCGACCCCUAAGGCGAGGCCGAAAGGCGUAGUCGAUGGGAAACGGGUUAAUAUUCCCGUACUUGGUGUUACUGCGAAGGGGGGACGGAGAAGGCUAUGUUGGCCGGGCGACGGUUGUCCCGGUUUAAGCGUGUAGGUGUGUGUUCCAGGUAAAUCCGGUUCACUUUAACACUGAGGCGUGACGACGAGGCACUACGGUGCUGAAGCAACAAAUGCCCUGCUUCCAGGAAAAGCCUCUAAGCAUCAGGUAACAUCAAAUCGUACCCCAAACCGACACAGGUGGUCAGGUAGAGAAUACCAAGGCGCUUGAGAGAACUCGGGUGAAGGAACUAGGCAAAAUGGUGCCGUAACUUCGGGAGAAGGCACGCUGACAUGUAGGUGAAGUGAUUUACUCAUGGAGCUGAAGUCAGUCGAAGAUACCAGCUGGCUGCAACUGUUUAUUAAAAACACAGCACUGUGCAAACACGAAAGUGGACGUAUACGGUGUGACGCCUGCCCGGUGCCGGAAGGUUAAUUGAUGGGGUCAGCGCAAGCGAAGCUCCUGAUCGAAGCCCCGGUAAACGGCGGCCGUAACUAUAACGGUCCUAAGGUAGCGAAAUUCCUUGUCGGGUAAGUUCCGACCUGCACGAAUGGCGUAAUGAUGGCCAGGCUGUCUCCACCCGAGACUCAGUGAAAUUGAACUCGCUGUGAAGAUGCAGUGUACCCGCGGCAAGACGGAAAGACCCCGUGAACCUUUACUAUAGCUUGACACUGAACAUUGAGCCUUGAUGUGUAGGAUAGGUGGGAGGCUUUGAAGUGUGGACGCCAGUCUGCAUGGAGCCGACCUUGAAAUACCACCCUUUAAUGUUUGAUGUUCUAACGUGGACCCGUGAUCCGGGUUGCGGACAGUGUCUGGUGGGUAGUUUGACUGGGGCGGUCUCCUCCUAAAGAGUAACGGAGGAGCACGAAGGUUGGCUAAUCCUGGUCGGACAUCAGGAGGUUAGUGCAAUGGCAUAAGCCAGCUUGACUGCGAGCGUGACGGCGCGAGCAGGUGCGAAAGCAGGUCAUAGUGAUCCGGUGGUUCUGAAUGGAAGGGCCAUCGCUCAACGGAUAAAAGGUACUCCGGGGAUAACAGGCUGAUACCGCCCAAGAGUUCAUAUCGACGGCGGUGUUUGGCACCUCGAUGUCGGCUCAUCACAUCCUGGGGCUGAAGUAGGUCCCAAGGGUAUGGCUGUUCGCCAUUUAAAGUGGUACGCGAGCUGGGUUUAGAACGUCGUGAGACAGUUCGGUCCCUAUCUGCCGUGGGCGCUGGAGAACUGAGGGGGGCUGCUCCUAGUACGAGAGGACCGGAGUGGACGCAUCACUGGUGUUCGGGUUGUCAUGCCAAUGGCACUGCCCGGUAGCUAAAUGCGGAAGAGAUAAGUGCUGAAAGCAUCUAAGCACGAAACUUGCCCCGAGAUGAGUUCUCCCUGAGACUUAGAGUCUCCUGAAGGAACGUUGAAGACGACGACGUUGAUAGGCCGGGUGUGUAAGCGCAGCGAUGCGUUGAGCUAACCGGUACUAAUGAACCGUGAGGCUUAACCUUACAACGCCGAAG
rnacentral:rRNA from 1 species